GUGGAGUCUAGAAUGGAUCCUUUUAUUUUGCUAUAUAGGAUACCACUAAAGUUGGCCGUAAAAAGGCGGCCUCACCGCAAAGUAGUCGUAUUUCCAAGAUGUCUGUCAAGUCUGUCAAAGAAUGCUGAAUGGAACGAAUGUUUCUCGACGGUCCAGAAUGGGCUAAAGACUAAAUAAAAUUAUAAGAGUGAAGCGAAUUGUCGUCAAUUGAAUUGGAACUAAAAACUGUUGCGAAAAUUCAGAUUGUUGAGCAAGGCGUUCAUGCCAGAAGGUUUACAUCCAAUAUUGCCCAGGGGGACAGUAAUUAGAACAAUUUAUUUAAGUUUGUGUGGACACAGAGGCUUGAAUGUAGAAAUCAAAGAGUGGACAUGCGUAUAAAAUAUCGCCAACAGACCAUGGACGGAUAAAGAGAAAAAUCUACUAUUGUGAUUGAAAGUUGAAAAUAAACAGCAAAAAAACUUCAAAUAGAAAUUUAAACAUACAAGAAGUAGGACCUUGACCAUGCCUCAACAACAUCAGGAUCAAGAAGUCAAACAUGCAAUAUUAAUUCACAUGCUUGUAGCUAAUAGCACACGAGCAUUAGCAAGUGAAGGAGAGAAACAAUAACUAAUGACCAUAAAAUUCUAUAUUGAUACUUAUCAAAAUUGGAUCCAUUCUGAACAACUCCAAGAGUCUAGCCAGCUCUAUUGAUACUUAAAAAUUGGAUCCAAUCUGGAAAUUGUAAGAGUCUAGCCAGCUCUAUUGAUACUAACCAAAAUUGGAUCCAUUCUGGAGACUUUCAAGUGUGUAGCCAGCUCUAUUGAUAUUGACCAAAACUCGAUCCAUUCUGGACAUUUGCAAGAGUGUAUCCAGUCCUGUUGAAAUUGACUGAGUUUUGAUCCAUUCUGGACAUUUUCAAGAGUGAAGCCAGCUCUAUUGUUACUUACUAAAAUUGGAUCAAUUGUGGACACUUUCAAGACUCUAGCUAGCUCUAUUGAUACUUACCAAAAUUUGAUCCAUUCGGGACAAUUUUAAGAGUCAAGCCAGCUGUAUUGGUACUCACCAAAAUUGGAUCCAUUCUUGACAACUUCAAGACUCUAACUAGCUCUCUUGAUACUUACCAAAAUUUGAUCUAUUCUAUACAAAUUCAAGAGUCUAGCCAGCUCUAUUGAUACUUACCAAAAUUGGAUCCAUUCUGGACAAUUUCAAGAGUCUAGCAAGCUCUAUUGAUACUUACAGAAAAUGGAUCCAAUCUAGACAAUUUCAAGAGUCAAGCCAGCUCUCUUGAUACUUACCAAAUUGGAUCCACUCUGGACAAUUUCAAGAGUCUAGCCAGCUCUAUUGAUAAUUUCCAAAAUUGGAUCCAUUCUUAACAAUUUCAAGAGUCGUACUGUGUAGCGUAAUUGCACAUUGUUCGUUGAUAUCACACAGUAAUAACCAACAAAGUUCAUUUCUGAUUUCUUUGCGUUUUAUUUCUGCUUAUUAACACAACACAACGUUUCCAAAAUGUUUGUCAAAUACAAGAUACAUGCGAAGCCCGCAAUGGGCCCAUCCCGCGAAAGCCAGCAAUAAUGCGACUUGUAUGUUCGGCCGUUUAAGUAAGACUCUCCUUCAUACAACGCAGAUGCCAAUUUAUACAAUAAUGGACAAAUAAAUUGGGUGACGGCUGUCUGGAUGAUUGACUUUAACAUGAGUUGAAUUACCUGAUACGGGAUGGCUUUAUGUGUGACUUACAUAUCUUGUGCAUAUAUAUGCCAAUAAUUAAGCGAGACCACGUUUGUUUAACUGUCACCUGUCAUUUAACAUGAAAAUAUACACAAAUUAACAGUG